GUCAGAACGGCCGAGCGGUCUAAGGUGCCAGACUCCGAUAAAGACUUUUCUAGUCUCCAAAUGGAGGCGUGGGUUCAAAUCCCACUUCUGACA
rnacentral:tRNA from 1 species